GAUGAAGAACGCAGCGAAAUGCGAUACGUAAUGUGAAUUGCAGAAUUCAGUGAAUCAUCGAGUCUUUGAACGCACAUUGCGCCCCCUGGUAUUCCGGGGGGCAUGCCUGUCCGAGCGUCAUUGCUGCCCUCAAGCACGGCUUGUGUGUUGGGCCUCCGUCCUCCUCCCGGGGGACGGGCCCGAAAGGCAGCGGCGGCACCGCGUCCGGUCCUCGAGCGUAUGGGGCUUCGUCACCCGCUCUUGUAGGCCCCGCCGGCGCUUGCCGACACAUCAAUCUUUUUUCCAGGUUGACCUCGGAUCAGGUAGGGAUACCCGCUGAACUUAAGCAUAUCAAUAAGCGGAGGA
rnacentral:misc_RNA from 1 species